rnacentral:rRNA from 1 species
GACGAACGCUGGCGGCGUGCUUAACACAUGCAAGUCGAACGAAGUGGCGAACGGGUGAGUAACGCGUAAUCAACCUGCCCUUCAGAGGGGGACAACAGUUGGAAACGACUGCUAAUACCGCAUACUGAAGGAGGGGAUGGCGUCGGAUUAGCUAGUUGGAGGGGUAACGGCCCACCAAGGCGAUGAUCAGUAGCCGGGUUGGGAGGAACAACGGCCAAAUUUGGACUGAGACACGGCCCAGACUCCUACGGGAGGGAGCAGUGGGGAAUCUUCCGCAAUGGACGAAAGUCCGACGGCGCAACGCCGCGUGAGUGAUGACGGCCUUCGGGUUGGAAAGCUCUGUUAAUCGGGACGCGUUACCGGAAUAGAAAGCCACGGCUAACUACGUGCCAGCAGCCGCGGUAAUUC